AUUCAUCAGUAGUGAAAAUUGAAAAAUUUCUUCAAUGAUUCAUAACAUUUUAACUAGAAAAUAAGCAUACUCGGAUUAGAUAACUUUUCGGUUUUUGAUGUUUUCCCGUACAAGUCCAGUUAAAAACCAAAAAAGUCACAACUCAGCACA
ensembl:ncRNA ZK40.8 ncRNA